rnacentral:rRNA from 1 species
UCGGGAAUAUUGCGCAAUGGAGGAAACUCUGACGCAGUGACGCCGCGUAUAGGAAGAAGGUUUUCGGAUUGUAAACUAUUGUCCACAGGGAAGAUAAAAGACUGUACCUGUGAAGAAAGCUCCGGCUAACUACGUGCCAGCAGCCGCGGUAAUACGUAGGGAGCAAGCGUUAUCCGGAAUUAUUGGGUGUAAAGGGUGCGUAGACGGGAUAACAAGUUGGUUGUGAAACCCCUCGGCUCAACUGAGGAACUGCAACCAAAACUAUUAUUCUUGAGUGCAGGAGAGGAAAGUGGAAUUCCUAGU